GAUGAACGCUGGCGGCGUGCUUAACACAUGCAAGUCGAACGGUGAAAGAGAGCUUGCUCUCUGGAUCAGUGGCGAACGGGUGAGUAACACGUGAGCAAUCUGCCCCUGACUCUGGGAUAAGCGCUGGAAACGGCGUCUAAUACCGGAUACGAGCUGCGAAGGCAUCUUCAGCAGCUGGAAAGAACUUCGGUCAGGGAUGAGCUCGCGGCCUAUCAGCUAGUUGGUGAGGUAACGGCUCACCAAGGCGUCGACGGGUAGCCGGCCUGAGAGGGUGACCGGCCACACUGGGACUGAGACACGGCCCAGACUCCUACGGGAGGCAGCAGUGGGGAAUAUUGCACAAUGGGCGCAAGCCUGAUGCAGCAACGCCGCGUGAGGGACGACGGCCUUCGGGUUGUAAACCUCUUUUAGCAGGGAAGAAGCGAAAGUGACGGUACCUGCAGAAAAAGCACCGGCUAACUACGUGCCAGCCGCCGCUGUAAAAC
rnacentral:rRNA from 1 species